GUCCAGAUAAUGUUCCCUUUAUACCUCUUCUUGUUUAGAUCUGUCUAUGGUGUCAUAUGAAUGCGAACCUCCCGAGACAGCGUUUGAGAAAGAAAGACAUAAAUCAAUCAAAGCAUCAGUCGGAAAGAGAUGACAGCCGAUCACGUGUUUCCACUUCACACAAUUAACGAAAUACAUUGCCAAUAUCAUCAGUUUUCUCAGUGCAAAUGCAGUCAGAGAGAUUCCCUCUGUUGGUCGUGUCUACCAUGGUUGCGCAAUGAAAUUGUCAACCAAGUAUUAGUUGGGCACAGCGAAAUAAAGGAAAAGUCGAGAGAUACCUUUCAAGUGCUAAUCGAGGAAAACCUUUCAAGUGCUCCGUGAGGGAAGCCUUUCAAGUGCUACAGAAGGAAAACCUUUUAAGUGCUCCGUUAGGGAAACCUUUCAAGUGUCUUUUGAAGAAACCUUUCAAGUGUUUCGCAACCUUGAUUUUGUCAGCUUCGUUUGAUUUCAAUCAAAUCAACAAAGAGAUAACUCAAUUAACCUCAAUUACGUGACGAUGAAACGUUCUCUAACUAUAUCUGCAGCCAUCGAAUUUCAGUUAGACAAUUGACGCAGUCGUAAUUAGUGUUUAUUUAUUAUUAUUUAUGUAUAUUUAAAGAACUCAAGCUGAUUAUUGUCUCACGUUACGUUUACCGAUACCCAGGAUGUUUUAGAAACUGCAUAUUUAUUUUCACGUUUACACGAAAACGCGUAGUCGUACCACAGGUAACCCAACCAUACCCUCCGCCGKGCAACUGUUUUUACUCUGUCGGGCUUCUUUUGUAAUGGUGACGGUUAUGGACUGGUGGCGCGGCGUGGCGCUCUUCCUUUCUCGCUCCAAUUCCCCAUCUUCAAGCUGCCAGACCGUAAGCCCUUGACUCUUAGUGAUGACUAAAACUAGUGAACUAAAAACUAGAGCCUUAAACCGAUGUUACUUACGCAACUGAUAAUAAUUAUAAUAAACAGUCUACAAGUGGCUUUCCGUAGAUUCCGCAGAAAAUCAGGUAAAAUCUUAACUAAUUUAUACUACAAUACGAUAUAGAUAGUAAAAAUACUAUUUAACAAAUUA